rnacentral:lncRNA from 1 species
AACAGUGUUCUAUUAUAAAUGAUUCCCAUGUCCCAAUAUAUAAGAUUUGGAUUGAAAAGCAUCUCCAAACGAGGUGCUAAAGGGACAAAAGACAAAAUGUGUUAACAAAUUUUGUUCCUGCCUAAAGCGAAAACUCCCGUCAUUGCUUAUAUUUCUAAUCUAUAUUCUACAACUUGUAGUUAUCACCAGCUUUAAUAAUGUCUUGACAAAUAAAAUUUGCCUUUUCUACAAAUAAAAUAAUUCAUAAAUGACAAAAUACUUUAUUCUGCCUCUGAACCAAGAUGAUAAGCCAUAAACUGACAUUUUCGUUCUAUUUUCUACCUUCAACUUUGUAAUGGGUUCUUUUUUUUGUUUUUGGUUUGUUUUUUUUUUUUUUUUUUUUUUCACAGGAUCAAGCUUUAGUUGCCGAUACACUUAACG